GUGUCAGCAGCCGCGGUAAUACCGGCGGCUCGAGUGGUGGCCACUAUUACUGGGCUUAAAGCGUCCGUAGCUUGGUUGUUAAGUCUUCUGGGAAAUCCAUCGGCUUAACCGAUGGGAGUUCAGGAGAUACUGGCAACCUAGGGACCGGGAGAGGUGAGAGGUACUCCAGGGGUAGGAGUGAAAUCCUGUAAUCCUUGGGGGACCACCUGUGGCGAAGGCGUCUCACUAGAACGGCUCCGACAGUGAGGGACGAAAGCUGGGGGAGCAAACCGGAUUAGAAACCCCGGUAGUCC
rnacentral:rRNA from 1 species